GUCAACGACCAUACCACGCUGAAAACACCGGUUCUCGUCCGAUCACCGAAGUAGUUAAGCAGCGUUGGGCAUGGUUAGUACUUAGAUGGGUGACCGCUUGGGAACGCCAUGUGUCGUUGGCA